GUGCUCACUUCAGCACCACAUAUACUAAAACUGGAACAAUACAGAGAAGUUUAGCUAGCAUGGACCCUGGGUAAGGAUGACACACAAACUUGUGAAGAGUUCCAUAUUUUU